rnacentral:tRNA from 1 species
GGAGCUAUAGCUCAAUGGUAGAGCAUCUACUUUGCAUGCAGAAGUCCAGGUUAAGUAUCUGAUGUAAAAUGUAAAACACCCUGGAGAGCUUCA